rnacentral:rRNA from 1 species
CCUACGGGGCGCAGCAGUGGGGAAUAUUGCACAAUGGGGGGAACCCUGAUGCAGCGACGCCGCGUGGGUGAAGAAGUCAUUCGUGACGUAAAGCCCUAUCAGCAGGGAAGAAAAUGACGGUACCUGACUAAGAAGCCCCGGCUAACUACGUGCCAGCAGCCGCGGUAAUACGUAGGGGGCAAGCGUUAUCCGGAUUUACUGGGUGUAAAGGGAGCGUAGACGGCGAUGCAAGUCUGAAGUGAAAGGCGGGGGCCCAACCCCCGGACUGCUUUGGAAACUGUAUAGCUGGAGUGCAGGAGAGGUAA